rnacentral:lncRNA from 1 species
CAAGAGAAGGCUGUAUGUAGGUCAGGACUCAAGGGAAAUAGUCAAGAGAAGGCUCUAUGCAGGUCAGGACCCACAGGAAGUAGUCAAGAGAAUGUUGUAGGUCAGGACCCACAGGAAGUAGUCAAGAGAAGGUUGUAGGUCAGGACCCACAGGAAGUAGACAAGAGGAGGCUGCAGGUCAGGACCCACCGGAAGCAGACAAGAGAAGGCUGUAGGUCAGGACCCACAGGAAGUAGUCAAGAGAAGGCUGUAGGUCAGGACCCACAGGGAGUGGACAAGAGAAGGCUGGAAAAGGCUUUGUGAGUCAGGAACCUGGUCUCUGUCAGCCCAUGGAUGGAGCUGAAACAGUAUGAUGAUGACCUUGCAAGCUGUGCCCUGGAGCCCAGCUCUAUCCUGAGGCUACAUCAGUGAGGAGGAAUGGGCUGGUAAA